rnacentral:snoRNA from 1 species
AUCCUAUGGUGAGGACAUGCCAGGAUGUAAUCAUGGAACCUUUCCCAUGCCUUCGGGAAUGACUCAUUUGUCGCUUGCUGAAAGAUUGAAAUCUUUCCUCGAAGAGC